CCUUAAAAAGUUACCUGAUAAUUUUUUAUUAGUUUAUGGGAUUUUUUUGUUUGUUUGUUUAGCUCCAAUCAUCUUUGUCCAGGAAAAACUCCUUUUCCAUUUGCAGACCCGACACCUCAGACUGAAACCGUACAACAGUGGUUUGGGAAUCUGCAAAUAAAUGCUCAUUUAAGAAAAACUACUGAAUAUGACAGCAUCAGCCCAAACCGGGACUUCCAGGGCCAUCCAGAUUUGCAGAAGGACACAUCAAAAAAUGCCUGGACUGAUACAAAAGUCAAAAAGAACUCUGAUGCUUCUGAUAAUGCACAUUCUGUAAAACAGCAAAAUACCAUGAAAUAUAUGACUGCACUUCACAGUAAACCUGAGAUAAUCCAACAAGAAUGUGUUUUUGGCUCAGAUCCUCUUUCUGAACAGAGCAAGACUAGGGGUAUGGAGCCACCAUGGGGUUAUCAGAAUCGUACAUUAAGAAGCAUUACAUCUCCGUUGGUUGCUCACAGGUUAAAACCAAUCAGACAGAAAACCAAAAAGGCUGUGGUGAGCAUACUUGAUUCAGAGGAGGUGUGUGUGGAGCUUGUAAAGGAGUAUGCAUCUCAAGAAUAUGUGAAAGAAGUUCUUCAGAUAUCUAGUGAUGGAAAUA
rnacentral:lncRNA from 1 species